CGGAUUGUAGUCUGCAACUCGACUACAUGAAGCUGGAAUCGCUAGUAAUCGCGAAUCAGAAUGUCGCGGUGAAUACGUUCCCGGGUCUUGUACACACCGCCCGUCACACCAUGGGAGUCAGUAACGCCCGAAGCCGGUGACCCAACCAAACGGAGGGAGCCGUCGAAGGUGGGACCGAUAACUGGGGUGAAGUCGUAACAAGGUAUC
rnacentral:rRNA from 1 species